rnacentral:rRNA from 1 species
AUUGAACGCUGGCGGCAUGCUUUACACAUGCAAGUCGAACGGUAACAGGCCGCAAGGUGCUGACGAGUGGCGAACGGGUGAGCAAUGCAUCGGAACGUGCCCAGUCGUGGGGGAUAACGCAGCGAAAGCUGUGCUAAUACCGCAUACGAUCUAUGGAUGAAAGCGGGGGACCGUAAGGCCUCGCGCGAUUGGAGCGGCCGAUGUCAGAUUAGGUAGUUGGUGGGGUAAAGGCCUACCAAGCCGACGAUCUGUAGCUGGUCUGAGAGGACGACUAGCCACACUGGGACUGAGACACGGCCCAGACUCCUACGGGAGGCAGCAGUGGGGAAUUUUGGACAAUGGGCGCAAGCCUGAUCCAGCAAUGCCGCGUGCAGGAAGAAGGCCUUCGGGUUGUAAACUGCUUUUGUACGGAACGAAACGGCCUGGGUUAAUACCCUGGGCUAAUGACGGUACCGUAAGAAUAAGCACCGGCUAACUACGUGCCAGCAGCCGCAGUAAAAC